UUCAUCUUGAAAUGCACAGAACAAACACAAUGUCUGUCAAUAUUUGUUGAAAGGAAUUAGAUAGAUGUGCUACCCUUAAACCUUGUUACGACCUCGGCACAUUACCCAUCUGAUC
rnacentral:snoRNA from 13 species